GCGAGCGGCGGAUGGGUGAGUAACACGUGGGGAACCUGCCCCUAAGUCUGGGAUACCAUUUGGAAACAGGUGCUAAUACCGGAUAAUAAAGCAGAUCGCAUGAUCAGCUUUUGAAAGGCGGCGUAAGCUGUCGCUAAGGGAUGGCCCCGCGGUGCAUUAGCUAGUUGGUAAGGUAACGGCUUACCAAGGCGACGAUGCAUAGCCGAGUUGAGAGACUGAUCGGCCACAUUGGGACUGAGACACGGCCCAAACUCCUACGGGAGGCAGCAGUAGGGAAUCUUCCACAAUGGACGCAAGUCUGAUGGAGCAACGCCGCGUGAGUGAAGAAGGUUUUCGGAUCGUAAAGCUCUGUUGUUGGUGAAGAAGGAUAGAGGUAGUAACUGGCCUUUAUUUGACGGUAAUCAACCAGAAAGUCACGGCUAACUACGUGCCAGCAGCCGCGGUAAUACGUAGGUGGCAAGCGUUGUCCGGAUUUAUUGGGCGUAAAGCGAGCGCAGGCGGAAAAAUAAGUCUAAUGUGAAAGCCCUCGGCUUAACCGAGGAACUGCAUCGGAAACUGUUUUUCUUGAGUGCAGAAGAGGAGAGUGGAACUCCAUGUGUAGCGGUGGAAUGCGUAGAUAUAUGGAAAGAACACCCAGUGGCGAAAGGCGGCUCUCUGGUCUGC
rnacentral:rRNA from 1 species